rnacentral:rRNA from 1 species
GAGGAAUAUUGGACAAUGGUCGGAAGACUGAUCCAGCCAUGCCGCGUGCAGGAUGAAGGUCCUAUGGAUUGUAAACUGCUUUUGUAAGGGAAGAAUAAGAGCUACGUGUAGUUUGAUGACGGUACCUUACGAAUAAGCAUCGGCUAACUCCGUGCCAGCAGCCGCGGUAAUACGGAGGAUGCGAGCGUUAUCCGGAAUCAUUGGGUUUAAAGGGUCCGUAGGCGGGCUGAUAAGUCAGAGGUGAAAGCGCUUAGCUCAACUAAGCAACUGCCUUUGAAACUGUUAGUCUUGAAUGAUUGUGAAGUAGUUGGAAUGUGUAGUGUAGCGGUGAAAUGCUUAGAUAUUACACAGAACACCGAUAGCGAAGGCAUAUUACUAACAAUUUAUUGGCGCUGAUGGACGAAAGCGUGGGGAGCGAACAGGAUUAGAUACCCUGGUAGUCCACGCUGUAAACGAUGGAUACUAGCUGUUUGGAGCAAUCUGAGUGGCUAAGCGAAAGUGAUAAGUAUCCCACCUGGGGAGUACGCACGCAAGUGUG